AUGGCGCCCAAGGCUGCCGAGAAGAAGCCGGCAGAGAAGACCCCCGCGGGCAAGAAACCCAAGGCGGAGAAGAAGGUGCCGGCGUCCAAGGAGGGCGGGGGCGAGAAGAAGGGGAAGAAGAAGUCCAAGAAGAGCGUGGAGACGUACAAGAUCUACAUCUUCAAGGUGCUGAAGCAGGUGCACCCGGACAUCGGGAUCUCCUCCAAGGCCAUGUCCAUCAUGAACUCCUUCAUCAACGACAUCUUCGAGAAGCUGGCCGGCGAGUCGGCCAAGCUGGCGCGGUACAACAAGAAGCCCACCAUCACGUCCCGGGAGAUCCAGACCUCCGUCCGCCUCGUCCUCCCCGGCGAGCUCGCCAAGCACGCCGUCUCCGAGGGCACCAAGGCCGUCACCAAGUUCACUUCCGCCUGA
rnacentral:rRNA from 1 species